rnacentral:rRNA from 1 species
UACGUAGGGUGCAAGCGUUAUCCGGAAUUAUUGGGCGUAAAGAGCUCGUAGGCGGUUUGUCGCGUCUGCUGUGAAAACUGGGGCUCAACCCCAGCCUGCAGUGGGUACGGGCAGACUAGAGUGCGGUAGGGAGAUUGGAAUUCCUGGUGUAGCGGUGGAAUGCGCAGAUAUCAGGAGGAACACCGAUGGCGAAGGCAGAUCUCUGGGCCGUAACUGACGCUGAGGAGCGAAAGCAUGGGGAGCGAACAGG